rnacentral:rRNA from 1 species
CGCCCUUCGAGUUUGAUCCUGGCUCAGGAUGAACGCUAGCGGGAGGCCUAACACAUGCAAGCCGAGCGGUAGAGUUCCUUCGGGGACUUGAGAGCGGCGCACGGGUGCGGAACACGUGUGCAACCUGCCUUUAUCUGGGGGAUAGCCUUUCGAAAGGAAGAUUAAUACCCCAUAAUAUGUUGAAUGGCAUCAUUCGACAUUGAAAACUCCGGUGGAUAGAGAUGGGCACGCGCAAGAUUAGAUAGUUGGUGAGGUAACGGCUCACCAAGUCUGCGAUCUUUAGGGGGCCUGAGAGGGUGAUCCCCCACACUGGUACUGAGACACGGACCAGACUCCUACGGGAGGCAGCAGUGAGGAAUAUUGGACAAUGGGUGAGAGCCUGAUCCAGCCAUCCCGCGUGAAGGACGACGGCCCUAUGGGUUGUAAACUUCUUUUGUAUAGGGAUAAACCUACUCUCGUGAGAGUAGCUGAAGGUACUAUACGAAUAAGCACCGGCUAACUCCGUGCCAGCAGCCGCGGUAAUACGGAGGGUGCAAGCGUUAUCCGGAUUUAUUGGGUUUAAAGGGUCCGUAGGCUGAUGUGUAAGUCAGUGGUGAAAUCUCACAGCUUAACUGUGAAACUGCCAUUGAUACUGCAUGUCUUGAGUGUUGUUGAAGUAGCUGGAAUAAGUAGUGUAGCGGUGAAAUGCAUAGAUAUUACUUAGAACACCAAUUGCGAAGGCAGGUUACUAAGCAACAACUGACGCUGAUGGACGAAAGCGUGGGGAGCGAACAGGAUUAGAUACCCUGGUAGUCCCGCCGUAAACGAUGCUAACUCGUUUUUGGGUUUUUAGACUGGAGACUAAGCGAAAGU